rnacentral:rRNA from 1 species
AACGAACGCUGGCGGCAGGCCUAACACAUGCAAGUCGAGCGGGCGUAGCAAUACGUCAGCGGCGGACGGGUGAGUAACACGUGGGAAUAUGCCUUUCGGUUUGGAACAACUCGGGGAAACCCGUAGCUAAUUCCGGAUACGCCCUUAGGGGAAAGGAUUUAUCGCCGAAAGAUUAGCCGCGUCCGAUUAGCUAGUUGGUGAGGUAACGGCCCGACCAAGGCGACGAUCGGUAGCUGGUUUGAGAGAACGACCAGCCACACUGGGACUGAGACACGGCCCAGACUCCUACGGGAGGCAGCAGUGGGGAAUCUUGGACAAUGGAGGAAACUCUGAUCCAGCCAUGCCGCGU